GACGAACGCUGGCGGCGUGCCUAACACAUGCAAGUUGAGCGACGAACCAGGGCUUGCCCUGGGGCAAAGCAGCGAACGGGUGAGUAACACGUGGGUAACGUGCCCCGAUAACCGGGACGAACCCGACGGAAACUCGGGCGUAAUACCGGAUGUGCCCACCCGGACACCAGUCCGGUGUGUAAAGGAAGCUUCGGCCUCCGUAUCGGGAGGCGGCCCGCCGGCCCAUUAGCUUGUUGGUGAGGUAACGGCUCACCAAGGCAACGAUGGGUAGCUGGUCUGAGAGGACGAUCAGCCACACUGGGA
rnacentral:rRNA from 1 species